GACGAACGCUGGCGGCGUGCUUAACACAUGCAAGUCAAACGGUAAGGCUCCAGCUUGCUGGGGUACACGAGUGGCGAACGGGUGAGUAACACGUGGGUGACCUGCCCUGCACUUCGGGAUAAGCCUGGGAAACUGGGUCUAAUACCGGAUAGGACCGCACCGUGAGGGUGUGGUGGAAAGUUUUUUCGGUGUGGGAUGGGCCCGCGGCCUAUCAGCUUGUUGGUGGGGUAAUGGCCUACCAAGGCGGCGACGGGUAGCCGGCCUGAGAGGGUGGACGGCCACAUUGGGACUGAGACACGGCCCAGACUCCUACGGGAGGCAGCAGUGGGGAAUAUUGCACAAUGGGCGGAAGCCUGAUGCAGCGACGCCGCGUGGGGGAUGACGGCCUUCGGGUUGUAAACUCCUUUCACCAUCGACGAAGGGUUUCUGACGGUAGAUGGAGAAGAAGCACCGGCUAACUACGUG
rnacentral:rRNA from 1 species